AUUUGCUCUUUUUUCGAGCUUAUUCUUAUUUACUGUGAACUGUAUUAUUAUGUGAUGUUUGAGGGAUGCUUGAGGACUAUAUGGAUAGGUCCGCAGGAUGUUAACCGAGUCAUGAUCGUGCUUAGGCACGGUAUCCUAUUAUUAUUUACCAAAAGAAUUCAGUAUAAAAUAUUGUAACAUAGACGUAAAAAAUCUAUAAAAACAACUUUUAACAACGGAUCUCUUGGUUCUCGCAUCGAUGAAGAACGUAGCAAAGUGCGAUAACUAGUGUGAAUUGCAUAUUCAGUGAAUCAUCGAGUCUUUGAACGCAACUUGCACUCAUUGGUAUUCCAAUGAGUACGCCUGUUUCAGUAUCAAAAACACCCCACAUUCCCAACUUUUUUUGUUGUUGAAUGGACUUGAGAGUUUUUACGGUCGCUUCUGUGGCUGUACUCUUUAAAAUCAUAAGGCCUGAACUUGUUUAGUCUGCCUGAACUUUUUUUUAAUAUAAAAGAAAGCUCUUGUCAAAAUAAACUCUGUAUGGGGGCCUCCCAAAUAAUACAUUUCUUAAAUUUGAUC
rnacentral:misc_RNA from 1 species